rnacentral:pre_miRNA from 1 species
UUAAAGUUGAAUCCUGAAAUAUAUACACACCUUAUAUCCUUAUAUUAUGGGAUAGAGAAUGUAGUAUUUUUAUUGUUGAGAUGAUAAAAUAUAAAUAGUACUUUAUAUAUGACUUAUGUUUUUCAAGUUUUUUUUAAGAAAAUAAAUAAAAUAGACGAUCAAAGUUGUGCACGGAAAAUUAUGGCUGCACUUGAA